rnacentral:snRNA from 1 species
CUUAUAAAAGCCUCACAU